CUCCUCCAUGGCUUCCUGCCUUCAGGUUCCUGCCUUGAGUUCCUGCCCUGACCUCUUCCAGUGAUGGAGUGCGACCGGAGCUGUCCAGCUCUCUCACUCAUGGACGUAUAACUCAGAGGACUCUGUCUCCUUAUCGGACCACAGUUACCUCUUCAUCCACAUUCAUGGCUGCCUUAUUCUCAACAGCAAGAAAAUGGAACCAGCCCAGCUGCGUACCAACUAUGCCAGGAUAAUGAAAACCUGCGUGCGUGCGUGCGUGCGUGCACAGUGGGACUGUACUCAUUUAUAAAGAAAAAAAAUCAUGAAAUUUGCAGAAAAAUGGAUGGGUUUGGAAAAUAUUGUGUUAAAUGAGGUGAUCUAGACUCAGAAAAGCCAAAAUUAUGUGUUGUCUUUCCCAUGAGGAUUCUCGCUCAUAAAGUCAUACAUAAGUAUAUAAUAAAUAGUCUGUACAUAGGUA